UACGUAGGGGGCAAGCGUUAUCCGGAUUUACUGGGUGUAAAGGGAGCGUAGACGGCUGUGCAAGUCAGAAGUGAAAGCCCGGGGCUCAACUCCGGGACUGCUUUUGAAACUGUUGAACUAGAUUGCAGGAGAGGUAAGUGGAAUUCCUAGUGUAGCGGUGAAAUGCGUAGAUAUUAGGAGGAACACCAGUGGCGAAGGCGGCUUACUGGACUGUAAAUGACGCUGAGGCUCGAAAGCGUGGGGAGCAAACAGG
rnacentral:rRNA from 1 species